UACGUAGGGUGCGAGCGUUAAUCGGAAUUACUGGGCGUAAAGCGUGCGUAGGCGGUUCCUCAAGUCCGUUGUGAAAUCCCGAGGCUCAACCUCGGAACUGCCUUCGAUACUGCGGGUCUCGAGUCCGGGAGAGGUGAGUGGAAUUCCUAGUGUAGAGGUGAAAUUCGUAGAUAUUAGGAAGAACACCAGUGGCGAAGGCGGCUCACUGGUCCGGUACUGACGCUGAGGUGCGAAAGCGUGGGGAGCAAACAGGG
rnacentral:rRNA from 1 species